AAGUCGUAACAAGGUUUCCGUAGGUGAACCUGCGGAAGGAUCAUUACUAGAGCAAAGGAUAGGGAGCACCCCACAGGAGCUUGCUCCGUGGCGGGCUGCCCGUCGAGCCUCUCGAAGAAGCUCGGUCCUGAACUCCACCCUUGAAUAAAUUACCUUUGUUGCUUUGGCGGGCCGCCUCGCGCCAGCGGCUUCGGCUGUUGCGUGCCCGCCAGAGGACCACAACUCUUGUUUUUAGUGAUGUCUGAGUACUAUAUAAUAGUUAAAACUUUCAACAACGGAUCUCUUGGUUCUG
rnacentral:misc_RNA from 1 species